AGUGAACGCUGGCGGUAGGCCUAACACAUGCAAGUCGAACGGCAGCACAGUAAGAGCUUGCUCUUACGGGUGGCGAGUGGCGGACGGGUGAGGAAUACAUCGGAAUCUACUUUUUCGUGGGGGAUAACGUAGGGAAACUUACGCUAAUACCGCAUACGACCUACGGGUGAAAGCAGGGGAUCUUCGGACCUUGCGCGAUUGAAUUAGCCGAUGUCGGAUUAGCUAGUUGGCGGGGUAAAGGCCCACCAAGGCGACGAUCCGUAGCUGGUCUGAGAGGAUGAUCAGCCAAACUGGAACUGAGACACGGUCCAGACUACUACGGGAGGCAGCAGUGGGGAAUAUUGGACAAUGGGCGCAAGCCUGAUCCAGCCAUACCGCGUGGGUGAAGAAGGACUUCGGGUUGUAAAGCCCUUUUGUUGGGAAAGAAAAGCAGCAGGUUAAUACCCCGCUGUUCUGACGGUACCCAAAGAAUAAGCACCGGCUAACUUCGUG
rnacentral:rRNA from 1 species